rnacentral:misc_RNA from 1 species
UUGAUUUUGAAUCGUUACCCUCUGUGCUGGCUCUCGCAAGUGCACGAAGGUGACUUUCAUCCAAUACCCUUGUGAACCUUUGGCCUCUUGCUAGCUUCGGCCGGCAGAGGAUUUCCACAUAAACUCGAAUGUAAUGAAAAGACCCUUUUGUGCGAAAGCACUAAUGUA